UACGAAGGGGGCUAGCGUUGCUCGGAAUCACUGGGCGUAAAGGGUGCGUAGGCGGGUCUUUAAGUCAGAGGUGAAAUCCUGGAGCUCAACUCCAGAACUGCCUUUGAUACUGAAGAUCUUGAGUUCGGGAGAGGUGAGUGGAACUGCGAGUGUAGAGGUGAAAUUCGUAGAUAUUCGCAAGAACACCAGUGGCGAAGGCGGCUCACUGGCCCGGUACUGACGCUGAGACGCGAAAGCGUGGGGAGCGAACAGG
rnacentral:rRNA from 1 species